rnacentral:rRNA from 1 species
UUCCGGUUGAUCCUGCCGGACCCCACUGCUAUCGGGAUAGGACUAAGACAUGCUAGUCGUGUGCCUCAGCCAAAACGAGGCACGGCGCACAGCUCAGUAACACGUGGCUAACCUGCCCUUAGGACGAGAAUAACCCCGGGAAACUGGGGCUAAUGCUCGAUAGGUGAAGAACUCUGGAAUGAGUCUUCACUUAAAAGAGUCUGCGUUAUGCUCGUAGAUUUCGCUUAAGGAUGGGGCCGCGACCGAUCAGGUUGUUGGUGAGGUAAUGGCUCACCAAGCCUUUUACCGGUGCGGGCCGUGAGAGCGGGAGCCCGGAGAUGGGCACUGAGACAAGGGCCCAGGCCCUACGGGGCGCAGCAGUCGCGAAAACUUUGCAAUACACGAAAGUGUGACAGGGCUAUCCCGAGUGCCAUCCGCUGAGGAAGGCUUUUACCCAGUCUAGAAAGCUGGGAGAAUAAGGAGAGGGCAAGUCUGGUGUCAGCCGCCGCGGUAAUACCAGCUCUCCGAGUGGUGUGGAUGUUUAUUGGGCCUAAAGCAUCCGUAGCUGGCUAAGUUAGUCCCCUGUUAAAUCCAACGAAUUAAUCGUUGGAUCGCGGGGGAUACUGCUUGGCUAGGGGACGAGAGAGGCAGACGGUAUUUCCGGGGUAGGGGUGAAAUCCUAUAAUCCCGGGAAGACCACCAGUGGCGAAGGCUGUCUGCUAGAACGCGCCCGACGGUGAGGGAUGAAAGCUGGGGGAGCGAACCGGAUUAGAUACCCGGGUAGUCCCAGCUGUAAACGAUGCAGGCUAGGUGUUUGGACGGCCACGUGCCGUUCUAGUGCCGCAGGGAAGCUGUUAAGCCUGCCGCCUGGGGAGUACGAUCGCAAGAUUGAAACUUAAAGGAAUUGGCGGGGGAGCACCACAAGGGGUGAAGCUUGCGGUUUAAUUGGAGUCAACGCCGGG